rnacentral:rRNA from 1 species
UACGGAGGGGGCUAGCGUUGUUCGGAAUUACUGGGCGUAAAGCGCACGUAGGCGGACAUUUAAGUCAGGGGUGAAAUCCCGGGGCUCAACCCCGGAACUGCCUUUGAUACUGGGUGUCUUGAGUGUGGAAGAGGUCAGUGGAAUUGCGAGUGUAGAGGUGAAAUUCGUAGAUAUUCGCAGGAACACCAGUGGCGAAGGCGGCUGACUGGUCCACAACUGACGCUGAGGUGCGAAAGCGUGGGGAGCAAAC